rnacentral:lncRNA from 1 species
GUCAACUCUUGUACAAGGUGUUUGUCUAUCCACCUAGAAUUCUAGGUGACUGAAGGGGAAAAUGUUUCAGAACAAGAGAGUCACAGUAUAUGGCCACGUCUGCUUCUGCCCUCUGCAAUGCACCAGGCACCUACAGGCCCAAGACACCGAGAGUCAGGAGAGACAACAGCACACUCCGCCCAUUUCAAUAAAGAGAAAAGCAAUCUCGAGAAAGCAAACGACCCCUGCCAACCCUCGGUUGGAAUCUCAGGACUCUGACUGCGUAUGCUCUACCCAGUGGAAACGUUCGCCACAUGGGCUGGGGAGAUGACUGGCUUGGGUGAAGCACUUGCUACACAGCCCAAGGACCUGAAAUCAGAACCCCAGAACCCUUAGAAAGACUGGCGUGGCUCCCAGCACCCUACAGGAAAGUGGGAAGCAGCGACAAGAACAUUUCUUGGCAAACUGGGAAGGAGGAGGAGUCCCCAACUGGAACAAGGAAAAGGCAGGUGUGAACUAGUGAG